rnacentral:lncRNA from 1 species
GAGCCCAACACAGGGCUUGAGCUCACAACCCUGAGAUCAAGUAUCAGAUGCUUAACUGACUGAGCCAACCAGGUGCUCUGGUCAUAGCAAAUUGUUGGAGGAGAGACUGUCAUUGGCUAAAGACAGAAGGGACGGUCCUUGAGCUCAAGGCCAGCUGAAG